rnacentral:rRNA from 1 species
AGAUUGAACGCUGGCGGCAUGCCUUACACAUGCAAGUCGAACGGCAGCACGGGAGCAAUCCUGGUGGCGAGUGGCGAACGGGUGAGUAAUAUAUCGGAACGUGCCCAGUCGUGGGGGAUAACGCAGCGAAAGCUGUGCUAAUACCGCAUACGAUCUCUGGAUGAAAGCGGGGGACUCGCAAGGGCCUCGCGCGAUUGGAGCGGCCGAUACCAGAUUAGCUAGUUGGUGGGUAAAGGCCCACCAAGGCGACGAUCUGUAGCUGGUCUGAGAGGACGACCAGCCACACUGGAACUGAGACACGGUCCAGACUCCUACGGGAGGCAGCAGUGGGGAAUGUUGGACAAUGGGCGCAAGCCUGAUCCAGCAAUGCCGCGUGCAGGAUGAAGGCCUUCGGUUGUAAACUGCUUUUGUACGGAACGAAACGUCUUUCUAAUACAAGGGACUAAUGAACGGUACCGUAAGAAUAAGACACCGGACUAACUACGU